rnacentral:rRNA from 1 species
GACGAACGCUGGCGGCGUGCCUAAUACAUGCAAGUCGAGCGGACCAAAGGGAGCUUGCUCCUGGAGGUCAGCGGCGAACGGGUGAGUAACACGUGGGCAACCUGCCUGUAAGACUGGGAUAACAUCGAGAAAUCGGUGCUAAUACCGGAUAAUAAAAAGAACUGCAUGGUUCUUUUUGAAAGAUGGUUUCGGCUAUCACUUACAGAUGGGCCGCGGCGCAUUAGCUAGUUGGUGAGGCAACGGCUCACCAAGGCAACGAUGCGUAGCCGACCUGAGAGGGUGAUCGGCCACACUGGGACUGAGACACGGCCCAGACUCCUACGGGAGGCAGCAAUAGGGAAUCUUCCGCAAUGGACGAAAAGUCUGACGGAGCAACGCCGCGUGAGUGAUGAAGGUUUUCGGAUCGUAAAACUCUGUUGUUAGGGAAGAACAAGUGCCGUUCGAAAGGGACGGCACCUUGACGGUACCUAACGAGAAAGCCACGGCUAACUACGUGCCAGCAGCCG